CCUCCUUUCUAAGAGAAAGAAAUUAUUAUAAGGCAAAUUAUUAUUUUAACUCUUCCUUUGUCUUUUCAGAGACUUUUUUUGGGGGGUUUAGCUCAGUUGGUUUAGAGCAUCGGCUUUGCAAGCCGGGGGUCAAGGGUUCGAAUCCCUUAACCUCCAUUUGUUUAUUGUAAAAGUGAAUGAAUAAAUGGAGGUUAUGGCUUUUAAAGAGUAACUUUUGUUGUAUCAAUUGAAAGCUAUCUUCAAGAAUUAAAAAAAAUCCUAUUAAAAUUUUGAUUUCCAGAUAGAAUAUUUUUUUGUUUAAGAAUUUUUUUAAAUUUAAUAAUUUACUCAGAUAAAAUUCUCAUUUACAAGAUAAGCAAUAUAAAAAAUAAGGGUGUUACUUAUUUAUUUUUUUGAAUUAUUUUAUUUAAGUUAUUUUAAAAUUUUUUAGCUUGUAGGAAAUAAUUUUACUUCAUGCAAAUUUUAAGAUAUUUGAUGUUCUUAUUUGUUUUGAGUGAAUAAAUAUAAUAUAUGGUUUGAUAUUUCAGGUCAUGGUUUUAUAUUGCUUGUUGUUUUGAUGGUUUUAGUGAUAAAUUUAAAUGGCCCUGACAAAUUUUUAUUGCAUACGGCAAGUUUGGUUGAAGCAUCAGAAAUGCAUCUUUAAUUAUUUUGUUGAGAUUAUUAAAUGCUUAAGAGGGGUUGAGUUUAAUCAAU
rnacentral:tRNA from 1 species